rnacentral:rRNA from 1 species
GACAGAGGGGCAAGCGUUGCUCGGAAUCACUGGGCGUAAAGGGCGCGUAGGCGGGAUGGCAAGUCAGUCGUGAAAUCUCUCGGCUCAACCGAGAAACGUCGGCUGAUACUGCCGUUCUUGAGGGAUGCAGAGGAGACUGGAAUUCCCGGUGUAGCGGUGAAAAUGUGUAGAGAUCGGGAGGAACACCGGUGGCGAAGGCGGGUCUCUGGGCAUCUCCUGGACGCUG